UACGAAGGGGGCUAGCGUUGUUCGGAAUUACUGGGCGUAAAGGGCUCGUAGGCGGUUUGUCACGUCGGGAGUGAAAACUCGGGGCUUAACCCCGAGCCUGCUUCCGAUACGGGCUGACUAGAGGUAUGCAGGGGAGAACGGAAUUCCUGGUGUAGCGGUGAAAUGCGCAGAUAUCAGGAGGAACACCGGUGGCGAAGGCGGUUCUCUGGGCAUUACCUGACGCUGAGGAGCGAAAGUGUGGGGAGCGAACAGG
rnacentral:rRNA from 1 species